AAUUGGAGGGCAAGUCUGGUGCCAGCAGCCGCGGUAAUUCCAGCUCCAAUAGCGUAUAUUAAAGUUGUUGCAGUUAAAAAGCUCGUAGUUGAAACUUGGGCCUGGCUGGCGGGUCCGCCUCACCGCGUGCACUCGUCCGGCCGGGCCUUCCUUCUGAAGAACCUCAUGCCCUUCACUGGGCGUGCUGGGGAAUCAGGACUUUUACUUUGAAAAAAUUAGAGUGUUCAAAGCAGGCCUUUGCUCGAAUACGUUAGCAUGGAAUAAUAAAAUAGGGCGUGCGUUUCUAUUUUGUUGGUUUCUAGAGACGCCGCAAUGAUUAACAGGAACAGUCGGGGGCAUCAGUAUUCAGUUGUCAGAGGUGAAAUUCUUGGAUUUACUGAAGACUAACUACUGCGAAAGCAUUUGCCAAGGAUGUUUUCAUUAAUCAGUGAACGAAAGUUAGGGGAUCGAAGACGAUCAGAUACCGUCGUAGUCUUAACCGUAAACUAUGCCGACUAGGGAUCGGGCGAUGUUCUUUUUCUGACUCGCUCGGCACCUUACGGGAAACCAAAGUGU
rnacentral:rRNA from 1 species